rnacentral:lncRNA from 1 species
CUCAGCCUCCCCAGUAGCUGGGACUACAGGCGCCUGCCAUCGCGCCUGGCUAAUUUUUUGUAUUUUUAGUAGAGACGGGGUUUCACCGUGUUAGCCAGGAUGGUCUCGAUCUCCUGACCUCGUGAUCCACCCGCCUCGGCCUCCCAAAGUGCUGGGAUUAUAGGCGUGAGACACCAUGCCCGGCCUGGGCUCGUCGUUUUCGUGGUUGGUGCAUGCCGGGGUCGUUUCCACCUGUUGCCUCUGGUCCUUUUUAACAUGAGUCCUCCUCCAGUGAAGGAAAGGGUCAUGCCAGGGCCUGCACCUAGGGCCUCCGUUCUCCAGUGGGUGUCUUUGCAUGAAACGGCCUGGGCCCUGGCACUUGCCCCACCAGCGCUGCCUGCAACCUUGUCCCUGUACCUCGGGCCUCCACCACAUCCCUGGACCUGCACGAAGGAGCCCUGAGCAUGGAAGUCAGGGGAAGGGAGGUCUCGACAUGAGCCCAGCCAUGGCCAGAGUACUGAGCCCAGGGCCAGCAGCCUCGGCUGGCAGUGCAGGGUGAUGGGUCUGUGGGCCGGGCUGCCCAGGGACCUCGGCCCUGGGGUCUGAGGGGCACCAAUGCCUUUUGCAGGCCACCAUUUCCCUUUCCACUUUCCAAAUGUGAUUGGACACAGGUGGAUGCACCUGCCUGCCCAGCAGACAGCCCGGUUCUGACCCGUGUGGAGCUGCGUGGACUGGGCUCACCUGUGCCUUCUUGCAUCAACCAGGUGUGGACCCUGACAAGGUGCCAGCCACUGUCCUCCAGGAGCUACCUCAGGGACACGCAGGGAGGGACUGGACAGACAGAUGGAGCGCAGUCCUUGCUGCCCGGCCAAGCCCUUGUGGGCAGGGCAGACUCCUUCAAGAUCAUCAAAUGAAAGCAGGCAAAAACCACGUCCUUUUGUGACCUAAGCUUGGAAGCAAUGUUGUCACUUCUGCCUCAUCCUAUUGGUUAGAAGUGAGCCAGGAGGUCCUGUCCACAUCCAAGGUGGGAGUCCCCGCAGGACGGGGCCUGGGAGGUGGGCCCAUGGGCUCCAGAGGGGCUGGACCACAGCAAGAAGAACGAGGCCAACCUCCAUGGGUAGCGCAGACCGGCUCAGGCCCUGCCCUUCCCGCCGGGGUCCCCUGUGACAGGACGCAAGGGCACAGCUGCGGAGCAGGGUGGGCUGUUAGAGCUGGGCAGAGGCCACAGUGGCCAGAGGGCUGGUGAGAGUGGCUCUCCUGCUGCCCUAGCCACUGGCUGAAGAUCUGCCUGGGGAGGAGUGGGUUUGGGCGGCCGGGCCUAGGACCCCUUCAUAGCUACCACUAAUACUCAUUCUCUGCUCCUGAGAAACCUCCUCCAGGGGCCUCUGGGGUCUUGGAGAUGAGACAGAGGGACCUCAGGCAGGACAGACAAGAGACCCUGGUCUCGGGUGUCCACAGAGCGGGAGCCAGGCAGGCUGGGCGGAAGUCCUAGGCUUGGACCCUGUUACGGGACUUUCCCUGUCAGAAUGGGCUCAGGAGGGAGUGAGUGCGUGGUCCUCAGGUGUGCAAGUGCCAAGGCUGGAGCCCACCCCCUGGGAAGCAGGGCCAGGGUGGCUGGGGCGGACUUGAUCCCUGGAGAGGAGCGUGGGCAGCCAGGGCAGGGAGGAGGGCAGGCAGGAGGGAGGUCCAGGCCUGUGGGCCGACAGGGGGUGAGGAGGCAGUCUGGGGACCUGAGAGAAGGCCGAGUGGCUGUGGGGUGGGUGACCUGGGGCCCUGACUCUGCCUUACCCUUGGCCAUGGGGCCACAUUCAUGCUCGGCCCCCGCCCAGCCUGGGCUGGGAAGGCAUCAGCCUGGCCAUGAGGCAAGGGGCCGGCCAUGCCUGGGGCCAGAGGGGGUCCCCCAGCCCUUCGCCUUCUCUCCAUCUCCUGAGUAGGGCCCCUGCCCUGCUCUGACAGGGUGGUCACCUUGCCCCGCUCCGUGCCCAGUCCUGAGCUGGCAGUGUCUCCAGCCUUUGCAGCGUGGCCCUGUCUGCCUCUGUGUGUGUCUGGGCUCCUCUCAUUUGGCCGCCCUGCCCGUCUACACUGGUGCCCCCCCACCUGCACUGUCCACCGGGCCAGGCUCUGUCUCUGCCACCUGUUGGGUGCUUGCCAGACUCCGCCAUCCUCUCCGCUCCCAGCUUGCGGCUUCUGCCUCCACUGGCCUGGGCCUGCCCUGCCGCCGCCUCCUUGUGCCCUGGCUGUCUGCUGCCCCCUCUGCUGCCCAUUGGCCAGCCGCUGAGCUCCCUACCAGGAAGAAAAAGGGCCAGGCCAUGCCGGACCAGGACUGGGCACAGCCUCCAGCACUCCAGGUGGACAGGCUGAGAAGCGCGGCGAGCGAGGCAGCCUGGGACGGGUGAUUUCUGGAACAUGGGGCCAGCCAGCCUUGGCGUGAGGUGUGGACAGCUGCCAGCUUCUUCUCAGGGCUGCUCACAGGCAGCGGGGGAGUGACCCCGUUUUCUGCUUGGCACCUGGCUUGCCAUCCCGCUCUACCCCAGGGCACUCAGACCUCAAACUCCUCAGCUGCCUGGAACACCAGGGAAGCCCAGGCUAUGUGAGCCUGUGCCCAGCAGGCCAGGGGGCACCAGGACAUCCCCCUCUUCUCUGAUAUUCCAAACCUUCCUGCCUUUGAGGAAUGCCUCCCGGUCCUUCUGGUUUUCUAGGCCAUGGGCUCACCCUGGUCUGCCAGCUCUGGAGCUCUGAGAAUAUUCCUGCAAAAUGCACAUCCCAGGCCUGGCCGCAGACUGUGAGUCACAGGUAGGGCCUGGGAUCAGCAUUUUCAUGGAUUCUGCAGGCACUGCUGAGAGCAGCUGCCCGGGGUCAAGCCAGGGCGUGGGCUGUCCUCAUCAGGCUCCCCUUCUCAGAGGCCGCCCUUCUGGCCUGGCCUGCACCUUUCCCCACUCACUGCCCACCAGCUGCAGACACACUCACUCCUGCCUCAGGGCCUCUGCACGGUGCAGACAUUCCUCCCACAGCUUCCCAGGGAGGCUGAAGAGCAAGGAACCUGCCUCUCCUCACGGAGCCCUCUGCUCCCGCCACACGGCUGGAUUUUUCUUGGAUGCCAGCGUUUGACAUCUCUAUGUGAGAUCUGCUUCUUCCCUGAUCGUGACAUUCCCUCCACCAGCAGGCAGCCGCAUGAGGACCAGCGCCUGCUCACCGCUGUGUCCCUCCUACGUGCGGGGCAGGCACCCAGCAGCAGGUGUUCGGUGCCCACUGGGAGCGUGCCUGGGCCCCUGCUCCUGCUCCUCAGAGGGAACAAACAACUGACCUGCUGAUGGAGGCUGUGAACCCACACGGGUUGUCUGCAGACGUAACGGGGCAUCUCCUAUGACGCUUCUGGAGAGGGCAAGGCUCCACGGCUGAGGGCUUUCUUUGGGUGACAACCAUGUGAAAUGCCAUGACCUUGUGCCACCCCGUGGCAGAUGACUCUCUCAGAAGGUGGUGCGUACCCUUUCCCCAUUAUGGUGUGGACACGCAGAUGUGGGGCCUCUCCCACCUCUUACAACUGGGGCAGGCUGACAACCACAGUAGAAGGGACACCCUGGAACUCCCAGACCACAUCAUAAGAGGCCACGCAGCUUCCUCCUGGAGCUCUCGGGCAGCUGCCCUUGGAGCCUGACUGCCAUGCUGUGAGGAAGCCCAGGUGCCACCGAGGCGGCACAUGCAGAUGUGCAGCCAAUGGCCCUGGCAGAACCUGACAAAGUCAGCACCAGCCACCAGACCUGCCAGCAAGGAUGCUCUGAGCCGACGUCCACUCCAGCUGUCGUCUGACUGCCCACGAGACACCCUGAGUGAGCACUGCCCAGCUAAGACCCGUCAACUCCAGAACUGUGAGAGGCGAUGGUUCCACGACUUCCUGGCUGUAGUCACUGCUGUUGGGCAGCUGUGGGUGACCCUGAAGGGACACUCUGAUAAGGGACAUCUGCCUGCAUGUGUGACCUGAGUCCCAGCCUCAGCUUUCUCAUGUGAAAAAUCAGGACCACGGUAGACCCUACCUUAUAAGGCAGCUGCAAGAGUGAAAUACAAUGGAAAAUGUACACAAGAUAGGGUGGCUGUUCGACGCCCUCUUGGUUCUUCAAAUCUAAGGCCCAUGUCAAGUUUUACCAUCAUUUUGCCAUCAUGAUGAGAAAAGAAAUGAGACCAGCCUGACCAACAUGGAGAAACCCCAUCUCUACUAAAAAUACAAAAUUAGCUGGGCAUGGUGGCACUCGCCUGUAAUCCCAGCUACUGGGGAGGCUGAGGCAGGAGAAUCACUCGAACUCAGGAGGUGGAGGUUGCAGUGAGCCGAGAUCGCACCAUUGCACUCUGGCCUGGGCAACAAGAAUGAAACUCUGUCUCACAAAAAAAAAAAAAAAAAAAAAAAAAGAAAUGGAACUUAAACAAGGAAAUAGUGUUUUCCUUGUUUUGUUUCUUGCUUAUUGAAAGCACCUUGCCUGAUGGGUUGAGGGAGGGAUUUUCAUAAAUCACUGUUGUAUACACACGUAGAGAGAAAAUACCAGCAAGUAAGGGUUACUGUCCCCACAUUUGAGUCCACUUCCUCCGGGUCAAUUUUGUCUAGAGUCAUUGCACCGAGGCUGUCCCUCAUACACUCUUCCUUUGGGCCAUGUACAGGGCUGGGGGACACCCGUUCCCCAAGAGGGGCCUCCACGAUUGACCCGGGAACUUUUGCUUGCUCUGCCGGUAUCUAGAUCUUACCAGCAGGUGCCAGCAAAUGAUCUCUGGACGGCGCCCCAGACUCACUGUCCUUCCCUAGAUGGGCCCUUGAGGCUUGGGAUGGAAGUGUAGAGGGGUCACUGCCAGGUGAUACAGUCAGGUUCAUCCGUGUUGAGCUGGGGCCACCAUGUCAUGAACCUGGCUGUUGGCAGCAUUCACAUGAAACCUGCUUUCAGAGACAAUAAGUGUAAACAAAUGUCUUAGGAUCAGUGCAUUGUGUCCCGGAUAAGCCCCUUCUCCCAAUGUCCCUCCACAACACUCACACGAGGAAAGGAGGCUGGGAGGUGGGGAGGC